AGUUGUUCAAUUUGCUUGUUGUAGUCCUCCAAUGAUGAGCAAAUAGCCUCCUUGAAGUCAUCAAUUAGGGCAAAGUCUGGAAAGAAAGGUAAUAUAUCCUCAAUCUUUAAAAGGCCAUCAGUUUCCUUGAGAAACGCUAUUGCUUUCCGUAUGUUCUCCCUUUUAGUUCCCUUUUCCUGUUCAAUAACAUGCUUGGCAACCAUUAGCCAAAGCUUUUUUCUCAAGUCUUCAUCAUCUUCAACCUUGUCAGCUUCAGCCAUAGCAAGCUCAGGGUCAACCUGCAGAGCAAGAGCAACCGCUUCUUCAUGCAUGGCCAUCAUGCUGUAUAUAUGAACACAGGCACGCAUUCGCUUUUCCUUGAGGCAAAGACGCAAAGCAUACUUGGG
rnacentral:misc_RNA from 1 species